CCUACGGGAGGCAGCAGUGGGGGAUAUUGGACAAUGGGGGGAACCCUGAUCCAGCGACGCCGCGUGAGUGAAGAAGUAUUUCGGUAUGUAAAGCUCUGUCAGCAGGGAAGAAAGAAAUGACGGUACCUGACCAAGAAGCCCCGGCUAACUACGUGCCAGCAGCCGCGGUAAUACGUAGGGGGCAAGCGUUAUCCGGAUUUACUGGGUGUAAAGGGAGCGUAGACGGCAGCACAAGUCUGGAGUGAAAUGCCGGGGCUUAACCCCGGAACUGCUUUGGAAACUGUGCAGCUAGAGUGCAGGAGAGGUAAGUGGAAUUCCUAGUGUAGCGGUGAAAUGCGUAGAUAUUAGGAGGAACACCAGUGGCGAAGGCGGCUUACUGGACUGUAACUGACGUUGAGGCUCGAAAGCGUGGGGAGCAAACAGGAUUAGAUACCCCAGUAGUC
rnacentral:rRNA from 1 species